rnacentral:lncRNA from 1 species
UUUUUUUUUUCAUUUGCGCCGAUUUUUUUAAAAGGUAAAUAACAGGUAAAUUACAGGUGAAAUGAUAUAAGAAGAUGUGGUAUGAGUGCCAAUUAGACAACUCUCCAUACCAAUAAUGUUAUUUCCAUUUAUCAUUAAAGACCUCUUCCGUUAGCCAGUUGUACAUAUGUUAUGAAUUGUCAAUCAUAACAUGUAUAUAACUGUUGUCUCCUGCUUAAAAUCAAGAAGUAAAAACCUAAGAUAAAAGCACUUUGUUUAUACUAAAAUGACGAAUUAAAAAUAUAUAUAUACAGCAUUCAAAUCCAUAAAAACGGAAUACAUUCAAAUCAUAAAUCUGUUCUUGCCGAGUAUGUAUAGGCAACAC